ensembl:misc_RNA 7SK 7SK RNA
GGGUGUCCCCAUCCUCCCUCACCACUCCAUGUGUGUCCUUCCCAAAGCUGCGCGCUUGCGCUUGGUGUAAGAGGACGACCUUCCCUGAUAGAGGAGGACCGUUCUUCGGUCAAGGGUAUGUGGGUAGCUGCGCUCCCCUGCUAGAACCUCCAAACAAGCUCUCAAGGCCAUCAGGCUUCUUGAAUCCUGGAAGCAUGUCAGCAGAUAGGAAAAUAAAGCUGGGGUCAAAGUCAUUUCAAAUCCAGAUGAACCUUUGAGGUGGCUUGCACUUGGUAUCAUUUAUAA